rnacentral:rRNA from 1 species
UACAGAGGGGGCAAGCGUUAUUCGGAAUUAUUGGGCGUAAAGGGCGCGUAGGCGGCUUGGCAAGUGGAUGGUGAAAUCCCUCGGCUUAACCGAGGAACUGCCAUCCGAGACUGCUUUGCUUGAGGCCGGGAGAGGUGAGUGGAAUUCCCAGUGUAGCGGUGAAAUGCGUAGAUAUUGGGAGGAACACCAGUGGCGAAGGCGGCUCACUGGCCCGGUACUGACGCUGAGGUGCGAAAGCGUGGGAGCA